CAGGAAGGUGGGUCGGAUCAGUAUGUUGUAAAUAGUUUGUACAGGAAAGUGAGUUAGUUUCAUUGUUUGUGCUCGUAUCACACUUCUGUAAUAAUAUUGUCUUGUGUUUUCUCUGUAUGUAUAUCUGUAUUGUAUAUUUACAGGACCACAUUUCUAUACAAAACCAAUAAAUGAAGUGAUGGAGAUCUGAAA